rnacentral:sRNA from 1 species
UGUGCCCCGGUGGCCGAAUGAGUAAUGCGGCCACCAGGUAGCGCCUUGGCGUGGGGACCCAGGGUGCGUGGGUUCGAAACCCACAGGGGACAACAUUACAUCCAGAGCCAACUUCUCAGCUCCUAAAAUAAUGGGAUGUGAACUUGCCAAGUAGGUACCUUUGGGCGGACCUACUACCUGAUUUAGCUUAUUGUUUCUGGGCUGGAAACCUGUAUUGCAUGUACCAAUCCUGUCUUUCAUUAAUUUUCCUAUGUUCUUGUUAUUCUUGGCGCUGUUCAACACUAAGCAUUCCUCCGGUAUAACCAACUCUUGCCUGUAUUUAACAUCACACAAGGACUCGUCAUAAGCGCUGCUUGCAUACGAGUAUAACGGAAGAAUAAUAAUAAUAAUAACAAGAAGAAUGUUGAUAGAACUGCUGAUCUCAUUCAGAUAUCAGUGAAAGUGUACAAACUACUAAUCUGCCAAGUGCAUGAGAAGAAGAAUGUCCAAGUGUUUGCUGCUAGUAUAGUGGAUAUUAAGAAAGUGUUAGAAAAGUUAGAACUCAAAGAUCUCAAGAAACUGUGCAAGAAAUUACUCAAAUCAUACAAA